GCAAAAAGUGGCAUUUUUAAGGAAAAGACGCUUUCGAGCUUCAUAUCUGGACAAAAUUUUUCAACAAUAACAGUAAGUGAUCUUUUCUAUUCACAUAAGAAGUACGAUUGAGCUUUUGAAAAACUUUUAUUUGAUUUUGAAAGUUGAAGGAGCGGUCGGCCCACAGAUUGUGAUAUCCUAUAAAGCGAACAAAACUAUUUGCCGGGAAUAUAUUUCAGUGGCAAGACUCUCUGCUUGGCAAGUUCAGUUUGUACUUAAUGGGUUAAUAUCCUGACAAUCAAAAUACACAAUUUAAAUCAGAUCAACACACGUAUCGAACUCUCAAAGACUGAGACAUUUUGGUCGAGAC